rnacentral:rRNA from 1 species
AUUGAACGCUAGCGGCAGGCCUAACACAUGCAAGUCGAGCGAGCGGCGGACGGGUGAGUAAUAUAUGGGAAUCUGCCCGGUAGAGGGGGAUAACUACUGGAAACAGUGGCUAAUACCGCAUACUAUUGGAUGAGCCCAUAUUGGAUUAGCUAGUUGGUGGGGUAAAGGCUCACCUAGGCAACGAUCCGUAGCUGGUUUGAGAGGACGACCAGCCACACGGGGACUGAGACACGGCCCAGACUCCUACGGGAGGCAGCAGUGGGGAAUAUUGGACAAUGGGGGAAAGCCUGAUGCAGCCAUCCCGCGUGUAUGAAGAAGGCCUUCGGGUUGUAAAGUACUUUCAGCAGGGAGGCGUUAUCUGCAGAAGAAGCACCGGCUAACUACGUGCCAGCAGCCGCGGUAAUAC